UCGAGUCUUUGAACGCAAGUUGCGCCCGAGGCCAAUCGGCCAAGGGCACGUCUGCCUGGGCGUCAAGCGUCGCGUCGCUCCGUGCUUGCUCAAACACAUCAACGUGGGCGUGUCGGGCGAAGGCUCGGAUGCGGAGAGUGGCUCGUCGUGCCCCAUCGGUGCG
rnacentral:rRNA from 1 species